GUCUUCUUGAUAAAAUAGGAAGUCUGACCUGCCCAGUGAAAAUAUUUUAACGGCCGCGGUAUAUUGACCGUGCAAAGGUAGCAUAAUCAUUAGUCUUUUAAUAGGGGGCUGGAAUGAAGGGUUUAACGAAGUACUUACUGUCUCAUUUAAUUUGAUAUUAAAAUUUACUUUUUCAGUCAAAAAGCUGAAAUAUUAUUGGAAGACGAGAAGACCCUAUAGAGCUUUAUAUUUAAUUAUUUAAUAAAUUUUUGAUAAAAUUAUUAUUUAUUAUUUAAUAAAAUAUUUUGUUGGGGUGACAAAAAUAUAUAAUUAACUUUUUUAUUUAUAUAACAUUGGUAUAUGAAAAAUAGAUCCAGUUUUACUGAUUAUUAGAAUAAGUUACCUUAGGGAUAACAGCGUAAUCUUCCUUUAGAGUUCAUAUUCACAGGGAGGCUUGCGACCUCGAUGUUGGAUUAAGAUUAUAAUUAGGUGUAGCCGCUUAAAAAAUAGGUCUGUUCGACCUUUAAAUUCUU
rnacentral:rRNA from 1 species